rnacentral:rRNA from 1 species
GACGAACCGUGCGAACGUUGUUCGGAAUCACUGGGCUUAAAGGGCGCGUAGGCGGGCGGUCCAGUCAGGGGUGAAAUCCUCCAGCUCAACUGGAGAACAGCCCCUGAUACUGACGGCCUCGAGGGGUGUAGGGGCAUGCGGAACUAAUGGUGGAGCGGUGAAAUGCGUAGAUAUCAUUAGGAACGCCGGUGGCGAAAGCGGCGUGCUGGACACCUUCUGACGCUGAGGCGCGAAAGCCAGGGGAGCAAACGGG